UACCUGCAGCCCAAGUGGUGCUCGUUAUUAUUGGGUCUAAAACGUCCGUAGUCGGCUGAGUAGAUGCCCGGGUAAAUCGAGGCGCUCAACGUCUCGAAUUCCGGGUAGACCGCUCGGCUAGGGAGUGGGAGAGGUGUGAGGUACUCUGAGGGUAGGGGUAAAAUCCUGUAAUCCUUGGGGGACCACCAGUGGCGAAGGCGUCACACUAGAACACGUCCGACGAUCAGGGACGAAGCCCUGGGGCGCAAACGGG
rnacentral:rRNA from 1 species